UGGGGAAUAUUGCACAAUGAGCGAAAGCCUGAUGCAGCAACGCCGCGUGAGUGAUGAAGGCCUUCGGGUUGUAAAGCUCUGUCUUCUGGGACGAUAAUGACGGUACCAGAGGAGGAAGCCACGGCUAACUACGUGCCAGCAGCCGCGGUAAUACGUAGGUGGCAAGCGUUGUCCGGAUUUACUGGGCGUAAAGGAUGCGUAGGCGGAUACUUAAGUCAGAUGUGAAAAUCCCGGGCUUAACUUGGGAACUGCAUUUGAAACUGGGUAUCUAGAGUGCGGGAGAGGAAAGUGGAAUUCCUAGUGUAGCGGUGAAAUGCGUAGAGAUUAGGAAGAACACCAGUGGCGAAGGCGACUUUCUGGACCGUAACUGACGCUGAGGCAUGAAAGCGUGGGGAGCAAACA
rnacentral:rRNA from 1 species